GACGAGCGCUGGCGGCGUGCUUAACACAUGCAAGUCGAACGGAAAGGCCCUGCUUUUGUGGGGUGCUCGAGUGGCGAACGGGUGAGUAACACGUGAGUAACCUGCCCUUGACUUUGGGAUAACUUCAGGAAACUGGGGCUAAUACCGGAUAGGAGCUCCUGCUGCAUGGUGGGGGUUGGAAAGUUUCGGCGGUUGGGGAUGGACUCGCGGCUUAUCAGCUUGUUGGUGGGGUAGUGGCUUACCAAGGCUUUGACGGGUAGCCGGCCUGAGAGGGUGACCGGCCACAUUGGGACUGAGAGACGGCCCAGACUCCUACGGGAGGCAGCAGUGGGGAAUAUUGCACAAUGGGCGGAAGCCUGAUGCAGCAACGCCGCGUGCGGGAUGACGGCCUUCGGGUUGUAAACCGCUUUCGCCUGUGACGAAGCGUGAGUGACGGUAAUGGGUAAAGAAGCACCGGCUAACUACGUG
rnacentral:rRNA from 1 species